GUGUCAAGAAUCCGUUUGAAGAAAAUGAAAUAGUUGGAAUUACAAAUUAUAUUGACUUUGGGUUUGUGUUGCAGACAAGGGUUGAUGAUGCCAAUACAUCAAAGAAUAUCCCAGAAUCCACCUUUCAAGUUGCUGCAUCCUGGCAGGCCAAUAAAAAUUUCUUAUUGAAGGUAUGUAUAUUCCAUUUGGUUCUUCGAGCCCUUGACACUGUUGGUUUGUCUCUAUCUCUAUUAUCUUUAACCUUACCAAUUUGGUGCGAUUUUUCUUACAUCAUCAGGUGUCAAAUUGGAUUUGAAGUUGCUAUCUUUAGCAAUAGAUCUAUUUUAUUAAAUACUCAGGAGAAUUUUAAGCUGAAGGCAAGUAUAUAUCAGCUUAGGUUGGGUUGAAACUGAGUGAGUCUGUCUCAUUCUCUUUUGGUCACUAUCUCUCGUUAUUUUGUCCCUUGCUUUCAGUAUCACACAGCUAUUAGGAAAAUGGGAUCAGAUCGGAGAUGGAUGUAUGCUAGGUUAAAAGAUGGUCUAUUGACCUCAGAAUUCAUAGAAGGUAUUGAACAAUUCAUAACAUUUGCUAAGCAACAUCCAGAGUGGAUGGAUGGGGAUAAACUGAAGUGUCCAUGUAAUCAUCGAAAGUGUCAGAAUCGUAAUUAUGCUGAUGAGAAUACAAUUCGGUUACAUUUGAUGAAGCAUGGAUUUGUGCCAUAUUAUUAUAAAUGGAUUCUACAUGGGGAACCCCGCACAAGUAAUAUUGAUAGUCAAAACAUAAAUGUU